CUAGAUAUUUAGUUGGUAGUUUCUCACAAGCUUAAACAACUUUUAAUUUCAAAUGUUACUUUAAUUGUAAUUUUUUUACUCAGAUAUGAAUUGAACAGUAUAAAAAGAACAUUAUUUACAUAUAUGGCCCUUUAUACUAUUGUAAAAUCCAAACAUUGUAUCGCACAGCGCGAAUGAGCACUUCUCUUUCAAAUCUCACCACUUCUCCCUAUCAGUUUCAAAAAGAGAAGUCACUUCUCCCUAUAAUUCUGAAGUAGUGUGAGCCCUGUCU
rnacentral:lncRNA from 1 species